GCUCCGGUGGCCUAGUAUUUAUAGCGUCCGCCUCAGAUGUGGGAGGUCGUGGGUUCAAUCCCCGGUCGAGUCA